rnacentral:rRNA from 1 species
AGUGAACGCUGGCGGUAGGCCUAACACAUGCCAGUCGAACGGCAGCACAGUAAGAGCUUGCUCUUACGGGUGGCGAGUGGCGGACGGGUGAGGAAUACAUCGGAAUCUACUUUUUCGUGGGGGAUAACGUAGGGAAACUUACGCUAAUACCGCAUACGACCUACGGGUGAAAGCAGGGGAUCUUCGGACCUUGCGCGAUUGAAUGAGCCGAUGUCGGAUUAGCUAGUUGGCGGGGGAAAGGCCCACAAGGCGACGAUCCGUAGCUGGUCGGAGGGGAUGAUCAGCCACACUGGAAGUGGGACACGGUCCGGACUACUACGGGGGGCAGCAGUGGGGAAUAUGGGACAGUGGGCGAAAGCGUGCUCCAGCCUUACCGCGUGGGUGAAGAAGCCGUGCGGGUUGUAAAGCCCUUUUGUUGGGAAAGAAAAGCAGCAGGUUAAGACCCCGCUGUUCGGACGGUACCCAAGGAAUAAGCACCGGAGAACUUC